rnacentral:ncRNA from 2 species
GUUGGUGAGCACUGCCGAGGUUCCCUGCUGCAGGCGUUUCAGCAGGGCUAAGACGGGAAGCCGAUGGCGCUCGCGUUGAGCGGAAUUCGGCGCUGCCCCCGCAACUGUGAGCGGCGAGCGGCGGUUCGAUGGGUGUCACUGGCGUUUACGAAGCGCUGGGAAGGCUAGAACCGUCGCGACGACCCGUGAGCCAGGAGACCUGCCUUUGGCGUGAUGACGUU